rnacentral:rRNA from 1 species
AUGCACCGGCUAGUGUUUGGGCUGCAUUUGCUGCUCGCAAGAACAGCAAGGACGCCCUCCAAUGGCGAGAUAAGUCUUUCCCAUACUAUGAUGAAUUGGCUUCGCUCUAUGAAGGUCGUUAUGCUGAAGGCAGGACUCGUCGUCGUAUGGACUACUACACAAGCAGGGCAAAAUAAUGUGGUGAACUAUGUUGAUGAAGAGCCUAAUGCUUAUCGGUCGCCUUCACCUACUUUACAAGGUGCAGGUGAAUUUGGUUUCCAUUUUUCUGUUGAAGAAGAGACUGAGAAUUUAAAUGUGGAUGCUGGACAACAUUCAUCAACACCUAUGCAAGAAAUGAAAACCACACCAAGCUCCACACAAGCACGUACAGAGAAGCCUAGCAAGAAAAAACAAAAGAGAAGUACUGCUGAACCUCCGGAUGGAUUUCACGAGAUAUAUUUGAAGUUGAAGCAGGAAGAAAUAGACCGAUUUGCAGCUAUUGAGGAGAAGAAAGCAGCUAUUGAGGAGAAAAAAACAGAGGAUCCCUACAGCAUUAACAAGUGCAUUACAACUGUUGAAGAGUUGGAGGGACUACAAUUGAGUGACAUUCUCAUGGCAUCAGAUAUCUUCCAAGCAAAGAAUAACAGGAAAGUUUUCUUGUCAUUUUCUACUAAUGAACGAUGA